rnacentral:rRNA from 1 species
UGCGUAGGCGGGUCUUUAAGUCAGGGGUGAAAUCCUGGAGCUCAACUCCAGAACUGCCUUUGAUACUGAGGAUCUUGAGUUCGGGAGAGGUGAGUGGAACUGCGAGUGUAGAGGUGAAAUUCGUAGAUAUUCGCAAGAACACCAGUGGCGAAGGCGGCUCACUGGCCCGAUACUGACGCUGAGGACAAGCGUGGGGAGCAAACA